UACAGAGGGUGCGAGCGUUGUCCGGAAUCACUGGGCGUAAAGGGCGCGUAGGCGGUUGCUUCAGCGUGUGGUGAAAGCCCGGGGCUCAACCCCGGGUCGGCCAUGCGAACUGGGCGACUGGAGCUUGUCAGAGGCAGGCGGAAUUCCGGGUGUAGCGGUGGAAUGCGUAGAGAUCCGGAAGAACACCGGUGGCGAAGGCGGCCUGCUGGGACAGUGCUGACGCUGAGGCGCGACAGCGUGGGGAGCAAACAGG
rnacentral:rRNA from 1 species